GGGCGUGUAGCUCAGGGGUAGAGCGUUCGCUUCGCAUCCCUGUUGACUCCUGUAUGCGAAAGGCCCUGGGUUCGAUUCCCAGCUCGUCCA